rnacentral:piRNA from 1 species
UACUUGACAUGGAUUCAGGUAACGUAGCC